rnacentral:misc_RNA from 1 species
GAUGAAGAACGUAGCGAAAUGCGAUACGUAAUGUGAAUUGCAGAAUUCAGUGAAUCAUCGAAUCUUUGAACGAACAUUGCGCCUGCCAGCACUCUGGCAGGCAUGCCUGUUCGAGCGUCAUUUCAACCAUCAAGCCCUAGGCUUGCGUUGGAGCCCUGCGGCUGCCGCAGGCCCCUAAAAGCAGUGGCGGGCUCGCUAUCACACCGAGUGCAGUAGAUUACUCUUCGCUCAGGGCGUGUGGCGGGUUCCAGCCGUGAAACCCCCUACUUCUCAAGGUUGACCUCGGAUCAGGUAGGAAUACCCGCUGAACUUAAGCAUAUCAAUAAGCGGAGGA